AAGAAAACAGAAAAGUAUACCUGCCUAACAACAAAAUCGUUUGUACAUUGGAUAAUGAACAUAUCGUGGUCGAAAAAAAUGACAAACAGAAUGUGUCCAAGCUUUAUAAAAAGUUUUUAGUUCUAAACCUAUCUAGCAUAGGACUAAAAGACAUACAUAACAUCUACUCAAAUAUUAUUGAGUUUUUAUUUAUGAAACAUAAUUUUUGCGACGAAUUCAUCGGUGAGUGCAACAACGUCAUCUCGUUUAUCCUAGAAACAUUCGAUGAGAUAAGUCAUAAAAAAAAAGAAAAUACGUUUUCUAUGCACACGAACAAGCUAACAAAUGUAAUAAAUUAUUUGCUCUUAUACAACAAAGACUGUAGUAAUAAGAUAAACGAUAUUAUGUCAUGUUUUCAAAAAGAUAUGUAUCGCAUUUAUUGUGAUGAUGUUAUGUAUUAUAAAGAAAAAAUACAGUAUACAAAUAUUAUUAAAAAAAAUUUUGAUAAAUACUUUUCUAAAUAUACAAAUAAUAAAAAACAAAACUUGUUUUUAAAUUAUUAUAAAAAUAAAUACAUCAUAGAAAAUGAAGAGAAGUUUAGAGAUACUAUUUACAACAGUAAUAAUGAUAAACCACUAAAUUUAGACAUGAUAAAAAACUUAUUUACUAAUAAAAAAAUUGAUAUAUUAUAUAAAUACUUGAUGAAAAUAAUAAUAAAAAUAAAUUCAUACUUACUAUUAAAAAGAACUAAUAUUAUUUUUCUGAACAAUCAAUAUACUUUUUUAAAAAAAAUUAUAGAAAUUUAUUGUUAUAUAAAAAAUUAUAAUGGUUUAUUUUUAACUAGUAAUGAAAAGGAUAUAAAAAAAAAAAUUAAAGAGGCAUAUUCAAAUACGAUACAAUUGUUAUGUUCGUAUGGAAAAAAAGUGGAAAAAGAAGAAAAACAAAAUACAUUAGUAAUGUCUGACUUAGGGGAUACUACUACUAAUAAUAAUAUACAUACAACCAAUGAAAAAGAAAAUACAUCAGUAAUGCUUGACUCAGAGGAUAUUGUUGAUAGUAGUAGUAAAAAUGAAAAAAAAAAAACAGAACUAGCAGAACAACUGUUAUUAGAAGAUAAAAGAAAUGUAUUUUUUACCAGUAUUAAUAUUAACAAUGAUAAAUUAUUAAAUUUAUAUGAUAAUGUUAUGUAUAAUGGAUAUUUACAUGGUUUGUACGAUAAUAUUUUUAACGAGUUUUAUAUAAAAAUAAUGCAUAUUAUAAAACAUGCAAAUGUUUUGAUUGGAAAAAAAAUAGAUAACUAUUUAAUUCCCCUGUUAUUAAAUCAUAAUCAUUUUUUGUUUUGCUUUAGUGAAAAUAAUGGUAAUAACCAUAAUUACCACAGUAGUAAUGCUAACUCAUUUUAUAAAAAACAUUAUUACAAAUACAAACACUUGUUUAAACAUUCGUACUUAACUUAUUUAGAUGUAUACAUGUUUGGCAACAAUACAGUUUUUUCCUUUAACUUAGCAGUACCUAUAUAUAAUUUUAUAAAACAUAAAAUAACAGCACCUUUUUUAUAUUCUACUAGUGAUGAAAACAAUUAUUUAGAUAGUUCUGUUGCUAAUUAUAAAAAGUUUUGUUUUAUCAAGUACAUAACUAACAUGUUAAACAAAAAGUUAAUUUUAAAAACAGAUAUAUAUGUUGAUUGUAUAGAUGAAGGGCCUAGUGAUACUGCGUAUGACACAUAUACGAGUACAUAUGAAAGUAUUGUUUAUAGUAGCACUUGUGACAGUAGUGCUUAUGGUAGCACUUGUGACAGUAAUGCUUAUGGUAGCACUUGUGACAGUAGUGCUUAUAGUAGCACUUGUGACAGUAGUGCUUAUGGUAGCAGGAGUUAUGGUAGCACCUAUGAGAGCGACACCCACACCCCUACUACCAAAACGAAUGUGGAAAAAAAUAAAAUCCAAGACAGCAGUAUUGAUAACUUCCCGAACCUAAAUGCAAUAAAUACAACUGAAAGAAUCCACAUUUUGUACGAAAUGCUCAAAAAAAAAGAAUUAUCUACAGUUAUAGAAAAAAAAAGAAGAUACAAAGAACUUAUAAAAGGGAUUUUAAAUAAAUAUGCAUCUGACAGGAAUAAUAAGGAUGGAGAUAAUAUAAAAAAUGCCGAAAAUGAUAUAAACUAUAAAAUAAAUGAAACAAAAAAAAAUAUACAAGAAAAACAGUUAUAUAUUAAAAAUAAACUAAUAACAUAUAAAAAAAAUAUACUAAGAAAAAAACAUAAUUUAAAAAACAUAACUAAAGAAGAUUUUACAUUUUUUAAACAAAAAAAUGUAAAUAACUAUAUGGGUUUUUUACGAAUUUUAUAUUUAUAUAUGAAUAAAAAUAAUGAU
rnacentral:lncRNA from 1 species